UUGCCCACAAAAAUAUCCCUUUCAUGCACUAUCCACUGUUUUAUAAUUUCAUUUCCAAAAAUACCCCUCCAGCCUUCCAUGUCAGCAGCCAUCUCCCUCUCCAUGUCACCACGGGAAGUUGUGCUUUUAAGCACCCAUGGUUAUCAUACCCAUACGAGCCUAUAUCAUCUUGAACAACCUGAAGAUUUCUUGGUGGAGAGGACUACAUGCUGCAGGUGGCCUCAUAUGCUUGGAUUUGGGUGUCUUGGUGAGAGGGAAAUAACCC
rnacentral:lncRNA from 1 species